rnacentral:lncRNA from 1 species
GAAGGAAACAUUGGCUGGUGCUCCGGUAGAAUUCUUCAUGGCAUGAGGUGGCAGUGGCUAUGGGGUCAAGCUCCUCUGCCUUUGGAAAGGGAAGAAGAGUGGGAAGGACUGCGUCUUAUGGUUUCAGUGCCAACUUAGCCACAAUACCAUAGAACACCAGGUAGGCUUCUAAGGUUUUUGAUAGAACACCAAGCAGAUUUAUCCUAAUGAAGACUACCUCAAGACAUUUAAUAAUCAUACUCCCAAAGGUAAACAAUACAGAAAGAAUCCUUUAAAUGCAGCAAGACAGAGGAAACAACGUACAAGGGAGCUCUGGCUGUUCCGCUAUGGAGUAGCCAUUCUUUUAUUUCUUUACUUUCUUAAUAAACUUGCUUUCACUUUAUGGAUUCACCUCAAAAUCUUUCUUGUGCAAGCUCCAAGAACCUUCUCUUGGGGUCUGGAUCGGGACCCCUUUCUAGUAACAUCUUCCUGGCGAACCAUGAAGGGAUGAUACUGAGGAGACCCCCGACCCAAAGGAAAUAGACUGCAGCAACAAUUGACUGACUUUGGGUAAGUGGUGGGGUAUCCAGUAAAGGAUGGGAUUGAGUUAGAGGCCCAAUUUAGGGGAGUUAGAGCCUCUCCUAGAAACAGAGAGGGUUAAAGCACUUUCUCUAGAGACAGAGAGGGUUAAAGGCCCCUCUUAAAAGGCAAUGACACUUGACCAAACUUGGGUUUGAGGCCCAACUUAGGAAGGUUACAGACCUUCCUAAGAUUUAGGGGGUUAGAGGAUCCUCUCAAUAAAGUCCCUGUCGGCUAAAAAAUUGAUUUGACACCAUGGGAUGUUAACUGUUACUCUCUUUGGAUUAAUCUGCCUUGCACUCUGCUGAUGGCUGUGACAGGAUUAGGCAGGUACAGGAUCAUGGGAUAAGGGGAGCUUUUUUUUCCCUAAAGGGGAAAACUUGAGAGCUAAUGGGAAUGCUGCAGAAGAUCCUUUGUGACCAACAAACAGCUGCCUGAACUUUUGAUUAAAUGUCACUGCAAUGGGUGGGUCUUUCUCUAGCCUCCCUGAGCUCUUCGACUUCCCCACCUUGCAGCAAGCAAUGCUUUUCUCUCUCUCUCUUCUUUCCCUUUAUUAUUUUUUCUGUUACUUGGGGUGACCAUCUUGCCCAGAGAACCACAUGUUGAAACUAUUUUAAUCCACUUUGAAUGGAUUAAAGGUGACAGAGCCCAUCAGGGGGCAAGUUUGAGCUUUGCCAGCUCAAUAUUUGUAUGGUUUGUCAUAUGUAUUUUUCUCUGGCUGAAUGGAAAAUAUUAAUUCAGGUCCCCCAUGCAACCAGUUGGGUGGCCACUUGCAAAAUUGAGAGGCUUUUGCCUGUGGUUCCAUGAAACAGAAAAAAAAAAUUCUUUUGUGUUGUGGCUUGGCCCCAAGGGCUUUGAGGUAGCAAGCAAGGUUACUAGGGCUGCUCAGGGAAAGAGAACCCAGAAACCUGACAUGUUAGCAAAAGGGUAAGGAUUUCUUACUGAUCAGACUUCUGUCCUCUUUCUUUAUGCAAACUGGUUGAAUGAAUGGUAAAAAUCACUGUUUAUCUCAUCUGUAAAGUUUUGAUUAAUAGGAAAAACAAUUUGUGAGGCUAGUCUUAAGCUGUAGCAAAUCUGGUGUGCUUUGUGUGUCUUUCUGUAUCAUUCUGUCAUAAAGAGGAAUACCUUAGGAUAGAACAUGGGCUUAGGAUCUCAGUUACAAACUGCUGCAGGUCUCUGAAACAACAAAAAAACUGGAUGAAGUUUCCUUCUCAUCUUGUUUCAUAUCCUUGGGAGCUUGACCUUGUAACCAUGUGGCGGUACUCUCUUGGUCUCUGCUAUCCAGGGAACAGAAGUUUGAGGGCUCAUGUCAUAGUUAGCCCUAAAAAUUAUAUUGAGCAGUUAAAAGCCUAUGCAAGCUCAAAACUGACUGCUCUAGGCUCCUUCUGGGAAGAGCAAUAGAACUGUCCAGUGCUGUAGCUUAGUAGCUAAGGCUUAUUAGUUUCACCUGGGAGAAAGUUCAAAAGCCAGAAAUAUUGGCCAUUGGCCUGGCUAAUGUCAGGUAAUAAGAGAUUAAAAAAAUUUUUCUUUAAAGAGCACUAUGGUUAAAAGUCAGCUUAAUUAAAAUCAGAUAGAUCCCUCUCAAAAUCUAAGCCUCUAUUCUGUUUUGCAUUAUGUUAUCUGAUGGUUUUGACUUUUGGGGGUAUCACAUUAUGAGAGAAACUUGGUGUGUAGUAACUAGGUAGAAAAUGUACUUUUGAAAACAGCUAAUGGCAGUUAUGAAAAAAUACAUGGCUCUUUGCAUGUUUGGAUCAGAGAAGCAUGCUCUUGGCCACCUAGAAGUUAUGGAAAUUUCCCCACCCCCACCUGAGAGAUAAGACUCCCACGGGGAAUGGGCUGAUUCCCUAUUUUUUAAGAUCUAGUAUCUAGUAUAAAAAUGAGAUCCUUAAUUUUGGGGGAUUUCUUUUGCCUUCCAGCUGUGCCUGCUUAUUAGGCCCUAGUAAUUGCAUACUUUAAAGAGAAACUUUAAAACUGGCAAAUGAAAACCCUUACAACUACUGGAUCUUCUUUUAUCUGUGUAUUUAUACGUGUUGUGUGUGAUGUUUACAUAUGAAAGUUUUAAUUGGUUUAAAAUAAUAAAAGGUUAAAUCAAAUAUUUUGUCAAAAAAGUAAAGUGUAAUGCCUUUUAGUUCAUGUGACUUAGGUAAUCUUUGGGAAAUAAAAACAGUUUUAUAAAAGGUGUGUAAGAAAAGUGAAAUGUAUUUUUGGUAAAAUAUCAUAAGAAGUUAAAGAAAUGUAAAUUUUUUUUGCUAAGUUUAGAGGGUUAAAAUAUUGUUUUAAGGAUAAAGCUGAAGGCUUAAGCAAGUUGUGGAAGAUUUGUGAAAAAUCAACCUUGUAAAAAAUUCUACGUGUGUAGGCUAAAAAUAAAGGAUGGAGGAAUGUUUACCAGGCAAAUGCAAAGAAAAAAAAANNNNNNNNNNGUUUACAUAUGAAAGUUUUAAUUGGUUUAAAAUAAUAAAAGGUUAAAUCAAAUAUUUUGUCAAAAAAGUAAAGUGUAAUGCCUUUUAGUUCAUGUGACUUAGGUAAUCUUUGGGAAAUAAAAACAGUUUUAUAAAAGGUGUGUAAGAAAAGUGAAAUGUAUUUUUGGUAAAAUAUCAUAAGAAGUUAAAGAAAUGUAAAUUUUUUUUGCUAAGUUUAGAGGGUUAAAAUAUUGUUUUAAGGAUAAAGCUGAAGGCUUAAGCAAGUUGUGGAAGAUUUGUGAAAAAUCAACCUUGUAAAAAAUUCUACGUGUGUAGGCUAAAAAUAAAGGAUGGAGGAAUGUUUACCAGGCAAAUGCAAAGAAAAAAAAACAGCAGGUAUUGAAAUCCUAGUCUCUGAUAAAACAGACUUUAAACCAACAAAGAUCAAAAAAGACAAAGAAGGGCAUUACAAUAGGUAAAGGGAUCAAUGCAACAAGAAGAGCUAACUAUCCUAAAUAUAUAUGCACCCAAUACAGGAGCAACAAGAUUCAUAAAGCAGGUUCUUAGAGACCUAGAAAGAGACUUAGACUCCCACACAAUAAUAGUGGGAGAUUUUAACACCCCACUGUCAAUAUUAGAUAGAUCAAUGAGACAGAAAAUUAACAAGGAUAUUCAGGACUUGAACACAGCUCUAGACCAAGCAGAACUAAUAGACAUUUAAAGAACUCUCCACCCCAAAUCAAGAGAAUAUACGUUCUUCUCAGCACCACAUCACACUUAUGCUAAAAUUGACCACAUAAUUGGAAGUAAAACACUACUCAGCAAAUGCAAAAGAACAGAAAUCAUAACAGUCUCUCAGACCACAGUGUAAUCAAAUUAAAACUCAGGAUAAAGAAACUCACUCAAAACCACGUAACUAAUUGGAAACUGAACAACCUGCUCCUGAAUGACUACUGGGUAAAUAACGAAAUUAAUGUAGAAAUAAGUAAGUUCUUUGAAACCAAUGACAACAAAGACACAACAUACCAGAAUCUCUGGGACACAGCUAAAGCAGUGUUUGGAGGGAAAUUUAUAGCACUAAAUGCCCACAGAAGAAAGUGGGAAAGAUGUAAAAUUGACAGUCUAACAUCAUAAUCAAAAUGACUAGAAAAGCAACAGCAAACAAAUUAAAAAGUUAGCAGAAGACAAGAAAUAACUAAGAACAGAGAAGAACUGGAGGAGACAGAAACACAAAAAACCCUUCAAAAAGUCAAUGAAUCCAGGAGCUGUUUUAUUCAAAAGAUUAAGAAAAUAGUUAGACUGCUAGCCAGAACAACAAAGAAGAGUGAAAAAUAAAAUACACACAAUAAAAAAUAAAGUGGAUAUCACCACUGAUCCUACAGAAACACAAACUACCAUCACAGAAUAGUAUAAACACCUCCACGCAAAUAAACUAGAAAAUCUCGAAGAAAUGGAUAAACUCCUCAACACAUAAACCCUCCCAAGACUAAACCAGGAAGGAGUCGAAUCCCUGAAUAGACCAAUAACAGGUUCUGAAAUUGAGGCAGUAAUUAAUAGCCUACAAACCAAAAAAGCCCAGGGCCAGACAGAUUCACAGCCGAAUUCUACAAGAGGUACAAACAGGAGCUGGUACCAUGCCUUCUGAAACUAUUCCAAACAAUAGAAAAAGAGGGACUCCUCCCUAACUCAUUCUAUGAGGCCAGCAUCAUCCUGAUACCAAAACCUGGCAGAGAUACAACAAAAAAAGAAAAUUUCAGGCCAAUAUCCCUGAUGAACAUCGAUGUGAAAAUCCUCAAUAAAAUACUGGCAAACCAAAUCCAGCAGCAAAUCAAAAAGCUUAUCCACCAUGAUCAAGUCUGUUUCAUCCCUGGGGUGCAAGGCUGGUUCAUCAUAUGCAAAUCAAAAAAUGUAAUCCAUCACAUCAACAGAAUCAAUGACAAAAACUACAUGAUUAUUUCAAUAGAUGCAGAAAAAGCCUUUGACAAAAUUCAACAGCCCUUCAUGCUAAAAACUCUCAAUAAACUAGAUAUUUAUGGAACGUAUCUCAAAAUAAUAAGAGCUAUUCAUAACAAACCCACAGCCAAUAUCAUACUGAAUGGGCAAAAGCUGGAAGCAUUCCCUUUGAAAACCAGCACAAGACAAAGAUGCCCUCUCUCACAACUCCUAUUCACCAUAAUAUUUGAAGUUCUGGCCAGGGCAAUCAGGCAAGACAAAGAAAUAAAGGGUAUUCAAAUAGGAACAGAGGAAGUCAAAUUUCCUCUGUUUGCAGAUGACAUGAUUGUAUAUUUAGAAACCCCAUCGUCUCAGCCCCAAAUCUCCUUCAGCUGAUUAGCAACUUCAGCAAAGUCUCAGCAUACAAAUCAAUGUGCAAAAAUCACAAGCAUUCCUAUAAACCAAUAAUAGACAAACAGAGAGCCAAAUCAUGAGUGAACUCCCAUUCACAAAUGCUACAAAGAAAAUAAAAUACCUACAAACACAACUUACAAAGGAUGUGAAGGACCUCUUCAAGGAGAACUAUAAAGCACUGCUCAAGGAAAAGAGAGGACACCAAAAAAAUGGAAAAACAUUCCCUGCUCAUGGAUAGGAAGAAUCAAUAUUGUGAAAAUGGCCAUACUGCCCAAAGUAAUUCACAGAUUGAAUGAUAUCCCUAUCAAUCUACCAUUGACUUUCCUCAUAAAAUCAGAGAAAACUACUUUAAAUUUCAUAUGGAACCAAAAAAGAGCCUGUAUAGCCAAGACAAUCCUAAGCAAAAAGAACAAAGCUGGAGGCAUCACUCUACCUGACUUCGAACUAUACUGCAAGGCUACAGUAACCAAAACAGAUAUAUAGUCCAAUGGAACAGAACAGAGGCCUCAGAAAUAAUGCCACACAUCUACAACCAUCUGAUCUUUGACAAACCUGAAAAAAUAAGCAAUGGGGAAAGGAUUCCCUAUUUAAUAAAUGGUGUUGCGAAAACUUGCUAGUCAUAUGCAGAAAACUGAAACUGGACCCCUUACUUACACCUUAUGCAAAAAUUAACUCAAGAUGGAUUAAAGGCUUAAAAGUAAAACCCAAAACCAUAAAAACUCUAGAAGAAAACCUAGGCAAUACCAUUCAGGACAUAGGCAUGGGCAAAGACUUCAUGACUAAAACACCAAAAACAAUUUCAACAAAAGCCAAAAUUGACAAAUGGGGUGUAAUUAAACUAAAGCACUUCUGCACAGCAAAAGAAACUAUCAUCAGAGUGAACAGGCAACCUACAGAAUGGGAGAAAAAUUUUACCAUCUAUCCAUCUGAGAAAGAGCUAAUAUCCAGCAUCUACAAGGAACUUAAACAAAUUUACAAGACAAAAACAACCCCAUCAAAAAGUGGGCGAAGGAUAUGAACAGACACUUCUUAAAAGAAGGCAUUCAUGCAGCCAACAAACAUGUAAAAAAGCUCAUCAUCACUGAUCAUUAGAGAAAUGCAAGUCAAAACCACAAGGAGCUACCAUCUCAUGCUAGUUAGAAUGGCGAUCAUUAAAAAGUCAGGAAACAACAGAUGCUGAAGAGGAUGUGGAGAAAUAGGAACGCUUUUACACUGUUGGUGGGAGUGUAAAUUAGUUCAACCAUUGUGGAAGACAGUGUGGUGAUUCCUCAAGCAUCUAGAGCCAGAAAAACCAUUUGACCCAGCAAUCCCAUUACUGGGUAUACACCCAAAGAAUUAUAAAUCAUUCUACUCUAAAGACACAUGCACGUGUAUGUUUAUUGCAGCACUGUUCACAAUAGCAAAGACUUGGAACCCACCCAAAUGCCCAUCAAUGAUAGACUGGAUAAGGAAAAUGUGACACAUACACACCAUGGAAUACUAUGCAGCCAUAAAAAAUGAUGAGUUCAUGUCCUUUGUAGGGACAUGGAUGAAACUGGAAACCAUCAUUCUCAUCAAACUAACACAGGAACAGAAAGCCAAACACCGCGUGUUCUCACUCAUAAGUGGGAGCUGAACAAUGAGAACACAUGGACAUAGGAAGGGGAACAUCACAUACUGGAGCCUGUUGUGGGGUGUGGGAGAGGGGAGGGAUAGCAUUAGGAGAAAUAUCUAAUGUAGAUUACAGGUCGAUGGGUGCAGCAAACCACCAUGGCACAUGUAUACCUAUGUAACAAACCUGCACGAUCUGCACAUGUAUCCCAGAACUUAAGUAUAAUAAUUUUAAAGAAAAAAAGUAGGAAGGAUAAAGUUAAAAUGUAGAGUUUUUAUUAGUUUUCUCUUUGCUUGCUUGUUUUUAUAUAAUUGUUAACUUGUCAUCAGUUUAAAAUAAUAUAUUAUGUUAUUUGCAAGCCUUAUGGUAACCUCAAAUCAAAAAUUAAACAUACAACAUAUAACAAAAAGAAGCUAGACAUUAAAGAACAGCGGUAGGGAAAAUCACUUUCACCAAAAGGAAGACAGGAAGGAAAGAAGGAGGGAAGAGAAGACAACAAAACACCAGUAAACAAGAAAAUGAAAGGAGUAAAUCAUUACUGAUCAAUAAUAACACUGAAUAUAAGUGGAUUAAACUCUCCAGUGAAAAGAAAUAGAGUGGC